rnacentral:tRNA from 2 species
GCGAUGAUAGCUCAGUUGGUAGAGCACGACCUUGCCAAGGUCGGGGUCGCGAGUUCGAGUCUCGUUCAUCGCU